rnacentral:rRNA from 1 species
UACGGAGGGUGCAAGCGUUAUCCGGAUUUAUUGGGCGUAAAGAGCUCGUAGGCGGUCUGUCGCGUCGAUCGUGAAAACUUGGGGCUUAACCCUGAGCUUGCGGUCGAUACGGGCAUGACUGGAGUUCGGCAGGGGAGACUGGAAUUCCUGGUGUAGCGGUGAAAUGCGCGGAUAUCAGGAGGAACACCGGUGGCGAAGGCGGGUCUCUGGGCCGAUACUGACGCUGAGGAGCGAAAGCGUGGGGAGCGAACAGG